UCACUGCUGGUGUCAACAACUAAUAACUAAGGGUGUCCGGAAUCCUUUGUCCCCACGUCUAGUGAGUCCAUGGAGCCCAGGGUAAUUAAGACGGUGCCUGUUACAGGAAUCAACUCCUAGAUACAUCACACUCAAGUCAAAACCUGGAAAGCUAAGGAAGCAACCCCUGACAGCCCAAAAAAUGUCCUAAAUAUCACUGUAAACAAAUCUUAAACUGAAAAUCAUAAAACAAUCAUGGCCAUUUCGUAAACAACUACCCAGAAACAUCUACAGACUGUGUUGCUCCUGCAGUCAAUUCAACAUCAAGAAACUCUCCUCCGCCCCCCAGCAGGAAGUAGCCAGAAAUACACAUCACCCUUUGUCCUUUUAUAACUAGGGUCUGGAAUUAUUGAACAGGAGCACCGUCAUCUCGGACAAACACCGCCACUUUAAAUUCCAGCUCCCUUUCUAGCCUUAUGCAUUUCGAGGAAAUCACUUCUCUUCUACUACAAGCAGCCAGAAAGAGCAGACAGUAAAACACAGAAAAGAUACCUCAGACACAGGGGCAGGUGGGGGAAGAGUCUCUUGGUAACUGCCAAACUUCACCCUCAUACAACGGGCCCCAGUAAAACAGUGGGCCUUAAUAAGUGAAUUCCUUUUCGUUCAGGUGCACUAAGAUAGGGAAGCUAAAAGCAGACUCCGGGGAUAUGCCUGCAGCUGCAGAAAGAUGUAUGGGAACAGGCACACAACUCUUCCUCCCACAUGAGCACAACAAAGAAACACAGAAGCAGUCCAAGCCUCUGAUCAACUCUCCCACUGUGAAUCCUUAAAAACUCUUAGUCUGUAAAGAGAGCAAACCUCUGACCUAACUCAGCCAGAAGGCACCUCUCAGAUUUGUUGUCUCUAAAAUAAAUCUGUCCAGACUGGCGA